UACGUAGGGGGCGAGCGUUGUCCGGAAUUACUGGGCGUAAAGGGCGCGUAGGCGGUGCUGUAAGUCUGUGGUGAAAUCUCUGGGCUCAACUCAGAGUCUGCCAUAGAAACUGCAGUGCUGGAGUGUGGGAGAGGUGAGUGGAAUUCCCGGUGUAGCGGUGAAAUGCGUAGAUAGUCGGGAGGAACACCUGUGGCGAAAGCGGCUCACUGGACCACAACUGACGCUGAGGCGCGAAAGCGUGGGAGCAACAGG
rnacentral:rRNA from 1 species